rnacentral:rRNA from 1 species
GACGAACCGUGCGAACGUUAUUCGGAAUCACUGGGCUUAAAGGGCGCGUAGGCGGGUCGGUAAGUCAGGGGUGAAAUCCCACGGCCCAACCGUGGAAGUGCCUCUGAUACUGCCGGCCUCGAGGGGGAUAGGGGCGUGCGGAACUCAGGGUGGAGCGGUGAAAUGCGUAGAUAUCCUGAGGAACACCGGUGGCGAAAGCGGCGCGCUGGAUCCCUUCUGACGCUGAGGCGCGAAAGCCAGGGGAGCAAACGGGG